CUUUUCACACAGUAAAACCCUGCUUUACUUCCCUUUGAGUCGUCUGUGAGCCUAAAUUUUUGUGGCUGUGGGAAGGACAAGAACCCCAUCUUUAGCUGAAAUAAGGAAAAGUUCCGCAACAUUUUUGGCACACACCCUGGGGGCUCCGGAAGUGAAAGUUCCCAGGAGAUGAAGACAUUGAAACUGCCAUCAUAAAAUUAAUAAAAGGUUCAAGAUUAGAAUUAUGGUAUUGGCCUGGAUUUUGUUAAGACAGAGACAUAGAUGUUUAAAGUCAACAACAAAAAAACUAAUCAUGAUAGCAAGAUCCUUAGAACUGAUCCAACAUGCUGCAGCUCCU
rnacentral:lncRNA from 10 species